UGUUCUAACUUCAAUGCAUGU
ensembl:piRNA 21ur-3349 ncRNA